rnacentral:rRNA from 1 species
CCCACUAUGCUUAGAUGUAAACCAAGGCAGCAACCACAUCCCACUGCCCGCCAGAGCACUACAAGUGAAAAACUUAAAACUCAAAGGACUUGACGGCAUUCCAUACCACACUAGAGGAGCCUGUCCUAUAAUCGAUAACCCACGCUUCACCUAACCUGUUCUUGCACAAACAUCAGCCUAUAUACCGCCGCCCACCGCCCGCCUUACAAAAGCACCACAAGCGAGCCAACCAGCCAACACUAAAACGUCAGGUCAAGGUGUAGCUUACGAACAGGAAGAGAUGGGCUACAUUUUCUAACGACAGAAAACCACCACCUGCACCAUGAAACAAGUGCACUAAAGGAGGAUUUAGCAGUAAGCCACGCAAGAACUGCCUGACUGAACCCCGCCCUGGAAUGCGCACAC